CACUAUCGUUAACUGAAUACAUAGGUUAACGAGGCGAACCGGGGGAACUGAAACAUCUAAGUACCCCGAGGAAAAGAAAUCAACCGAGAUUCCCCCAGUAGCGGCGAGCGAACGGGGAGCAGCCCAGAGUCUGAAUCAGCUUGUGUGUUAGUGGAACGGUCUGGAAAGUCCGACGGUACAGGGUGAUAGUCCCGUACACCAAAAUGCACAGGCUGUGAACUCGAAGAGUAGGGCGGGACACGUGGUAUCCUGUCUGAAUAUGGGGGGACCAUCCUCCAAGGCUAAAUACUCCUGACUGACCGAUAGUGAACCAGUACCGUGAGGGAAAGGCGAAAAGAACCCCGGCGAGGGGAGUGAAAAAGAACCUGAAACCGUGUACGUACAAGCAGUGGGAGCACCUUCGGGUGUGACUGCGUACCUUUUGUAUAAUGGGUCAGCGACUUAUAUUCUGUAGCAAGGUUAACCGUAUAGGGGAGCCGCAGGGAAACCGAGUCUUAACUGGGCGUUAAGUUGCAGGGUAUAGACCCGAAACCCGGUGAUCUAGCCAUGGGCAGGUUGAAGGUUGGGUAACACUAACUGGAGGACCGAACCGACUAAUGUUGAAAAAUUAGCGGAUGACUUGUGGCUGGGGGUGAAAGGCCAAUCAAACCGGGAGAUAGCUGGUUCUCCCCGAAAGCUAUUUAGGUAGCGCCUCGUGAAUUCAUCUUCGGGGGUAGAGCACUGUUUCGGCUAGGGGGUCAUCCCGACUUACCAACCCGAUGCAAACUACGAAUACCGAAGAAUGUUAUCACGGGAGACACACGGCGGGUGCUAACGUCCGUCGUGAAGAGGGAAACAACCCAGACCGCCAGCUAAGGUCCCAAAGUCAUGGUUAAGUGGGAAACGAUGUGGGAAGGCACAGACAGCCAGGAUGUUGGCUUAGAAGCAGCCAUCAUUUAAAGAAAGCGUAAUAGCUCACUGGUCGAGUCGGCCUGCGCGGAAGAUGUAACGGGGCUAAACCAUGCACCGAAGCUGCGGCAGCGACACUAUGUGUUGUUGGGUAGGGGAGCGUUCUGUAAGCCUGCGAAGGUGUGCUGUGAGGCAUGCUGGAGGUAUCAGAAGUGCGAAUGCUGACAUAAGUAACGAUAAAGCGGGUGAAAAGCCCGCUCGCCGGAAGACCAAGGGUUCCUGUCCAACGUUAAUCGGGGCAGGGUGAGUCGACCCCUAAGGCGAGGCCGAAAGGCGUAGUCGAUGGGAAACAGGUUAAUAUUCCUGUACUUGGUGUUACUGCGAAGGGGGGACGGAGAAGGCUAUGUUAGCCGGGCGACGGUUGUCCCGGUUUAAGCAUGUAGGCUGGUUGUCCAGGCAAAUCCGGAUAAUCAAGGCUGAGGUGUGAUGACGAGGCACUACGGUGCUGAAGUAACAAAUGCCCUGCUUCCAGGAAAAGCCUCUAAGCAUCAGGUAACAUUANNNNNNNNNNNNNNNNNNNNNNNNNNNNNNNNNNNNNNNNNNNNNNNNNNNNNNNNNNNNNNNNNNNNNNNNNNNNNNNNNNNNNNNNNNNNNNNNNCAAAUCGUACCCCAAACCGACACAGGUGGUCAGGUAGAGAAUACCAAGGCGCUUGAGAGAACUCGGGUGAAGGAACUAGGCAAAAUGGUGCCGUAACUUCGGGAGAAGGCACGCUGGUGUGUAGGUGAAGUCCCUGCGGAUGGAGCUGAGACCAGUCGAAGAUACCAGCUGGCUGCAACUGUUUAUUAAAAACACAGCACUGUGCAAACACGAAAGUGGACGUAUACGGUGUGACGCCUGCCCGGUGCCGGAAGGUUAAUUGAUGGGGUUAUCCGUAAGGAGAAGCUCUUGAUCGAAGCCCCGGUAAACGGCGGCCGUAACUAUAACGGUCCUAAGGUAGCGAAAUUCCUUGUCGGGUAAGUUCCGACCUGCACGAAUGGCGUAAUGAUGGCCAGGCUGUCUCCACCCGAGACUCAGUGAAAUUGAACUCGCUGUGAAGAUGCAGUGUACCCGCGGCAAGACGGAAAGACCCCGUGAACCUUUACUAUAGCUUGACACUGAACAUUGAGCCUUGAUGUGUAGGAUAGGUGGGAGGCUUUGAAGCGUGGACGCCAGUCUGCGUGGAGCCAACCUUGAAAUACCACCCUUUAAUGUUUGAUGUUCUAACGUUGGCCCCUGACCGGGGUUGCGGACAGUGUCUGGUGGGUAGUUUGACUGGGGCGGUCUCCUCCCAAAGCGUAACGGAGGAGCACGAAGGUUAGCUAAUCCUGGUCGGACAUCAGGAGGUUAGUGCAAUGGCAUAAGCUAGCUUGACUGCGAGCGUGACGGCGCGAGCAGGUGCGAAAGCAGGUCAUAGUGAUCCGGUGGUUCUGAAUGGAAGGGCCAUCGCUCAACGGAUAAAAGGUACUCCGGGGAUAACAGGCUGAUACCGCCCAAGAGUUCAUAUCGACGGCGGUGUUUGGCACCUCGAUGUCGGCUCAUCACAUCCUGGGGCUGAAGUAGGUCCCAAGGGUAUGGCUGUUCGCCAUUUAAAGUGGUACGCGAGCUGGGUUUAGAACGUCGUGAGACAGUUCGGUCCCUAUCUGCCGUGGGCGCUGGAGAAUUGAGGGGGGCUGCUCCUAGUACGAGAGGACCGGAGUGGACGCAUCACUGGUGUUCGGGUUGUCAUGCCAAUGGCACUGCCCGGUAGCUAAAUGCGGAAGAGAUAAGUGCUGAAAGCAUCUAAGCACGAAACUUGCCCCGAGAUGAGUUCUCCCUGAGACUUUAAGUCUCCUGAAGGAACGUUGAAGACGACGACGUUGAUAGGCCGGGUGUGUAAGCGCAGCGAUGCGUUGAGCUAACCGGUACUAAUGAACCGUGAGGCUUAACCUUACAACGCCGAAG
rnacentral:rRNA from 1 species